GAACCUCAUAAUCUCAUCAUUUCAAAUGAUAUACAAGUCCCAAAUAAAAAUGUUUCUCAUAUUAAUGAUGAAUAUCCAAGCGAGAAAAUUCCCAUCAACAGUGAUCGAAACAUUUCUCAAGCUGAUAAAAAAAGACAAAAAUGUGUUGAAAGUACAUCAUCUAUCAAUGUGAAUACAGUUGAAACAACACUAGAUGAAAUUCAAUUUCAUCGUUUUAAUCAAAUAAAUAAAGGUCAAGCAAUCUUUCAAAGAAAUAGGCAAGGUGGGUGUUUCCCUUUGCUUCAAAAUUUUCUUCAAAACUUGAACUACAUUGUGCUAUUACUAAUAACCUACAUUUAUGUUUUCUAUUCUCUCCAUUCUAUAC
rnacentral:lncRNA from 1 species